UUUCCUACAGGAGUCUCCCCUCCAGCGGGCUCCUGUCUCGGGACGCUGGGACACCUGUCGCCUAUUUUUAAAUAUCCAGAUUCCAAGAAUACAUUGGAUACUGCUCUUACAAAACCAAGAGGAAAUCGUGAAGAAAUGUUUUAAUUAUUGAAACUACAGUGGAAAUCAUGGCUACAUCAACAAAUCUGGAUAUUGGAGCCCAGCUUAUAUUGGAAGAAUGUCCCAGCACUUAUAGCCUAACUGGCAUGCCAGACAUUAAAAUAGAACAUCCACUGGACCCAAAUUCAGAAGAAGGGUCAGCUCAGAGUGUUGCCAUGGGAAUGAAAUUCAUAUUGCCUAACCGAUUUGAUAUGAAUGUGUGUUCUCGAUUUGUGAAGUCCUUAAAUGAAGAAGAUAGUAAAAAUAUUCAAGAUCAGGUUAACUCUGACCUGGAGGUGGCAUCUGUCCUAUUUAAAGGUUGAAAGUUAUGGUAUAAAUAUCUGCAUUUGUUUUUGUUUUUGUAUAUUUGGGUUAUUUUCCCAAUCAUGAGAUUUUGAGUUUGGGAAGACAGUUUAGAAGUCAUU
rnacentral:sRNA from 1 species